UGAGGAAUAUUGGUCAAUGGGCGGAAGCCUGAACCAGCCAAGUCGCGUGAGGGAAGAAGGCCCUGCGGGUCGCAGACCUCUUUGGACGGGGGAGCAAGGCCGCGGACGUGUCCGCGGAAGGAGAGUACCCGUAGAACAAGCAUCGGCUAACUCCGUGCC
rnacentral:rRNA from 1 species